rnacentral:rRNA from 1 species
UAGGGANUCUUCCGCAAUGGGCGAAAGCCUGACGGAGCAACGCCGCGUGAGUGAAGAAGGAUUUCGGUUCGUAAAGCUCUGUUGUUAGGGAAGAAUGAUUGUGUAGUAACUAUACACAGUAGAGACGGUACCUAACCAGAAAGCCACGGCUAACUACGUGCCAGCAGCCGCGGUAAUACGUAGGUGGCAAGCGUUGUCCGGAAUUAUUGGGCGUAAAGCGCGCGCAGGUGGUUUAAUAAGUCUGAUGUGAAAGCCCACGGCUCAACCGUGGAGGGUCAUUGGAAACUGUUAAACUUGAGUGCAGGAGAGAAAAGUGGAAUUCCUAGUGUAGCGGUGAAAUGCGUAGAGAUUAGGAGGAACACCAGUGGCGAAGGCGGCUUUUUGGCCUGUAACUGACACUGAGGCGCGAAAGCGUGGGGAGCAAACAGGAUUAGAUACCCUGGUAGUCCACGCCGUAAACGAUGAGUGCUAAGUAUUGGUCUCAUAAGAGAUCAGUGCUGCAGCUAACGCAUUAAGCACUCCGCCUGGGGAGUACGACCGCAAGGUUG